rnacentral:rRNA from 1 species
GACGAACGCUGGCGGCGUGCUUAACACAUGCAAGUCGAACGGAAAGGCCCUGCUUUUGUGGGGUGCUCGAGUGGCGAACGGGUGAGUAACACGUGAGUAACCUGCCCUUGACUUUGGGAUAACUUCAGGAAACUGGGGCUAAUACCGGAUAGGAGCUCCUGCUGCAUGGUGGGGGUUGGAAAGUUUCGGCGGUUGGGGAUGGACUGGCGGCUUAUCAGCUUGUUGGUGAGGUAGUGGCUUACCAAGGCUUUGACGGGUAGCCGGCCUGAGAGGGUGACCGGCGACAUUGGGACUGAGAUACGGCCCAGACUCCUACGGGAGGCAGCAGUCGGGAGUCUGGCGCAACGGGCGGAAGCCAGAUGCAGCAACGCCGCGUGCGGGAUGACGGCCUUCGGGUUGUAAACCGCUUUCGCCUGUGACGAAGCGUGAGUGACGGUAAUGGGUAAAGAAGCACCGGCUAACUACGUG